rnacentral:rRNA from 1 species
UACAGAGGCCUCGAGCGUUAGGCGGAAUCACUGGGCUUAAAGCGUGUGUAGGCGGACCCCUAAGUACCUUGUGAAAUCCCACGGCUCACCCGUGGAACUGCUGGGUAUACUGGUCGUCUUGAGCCUUCUAGGGGCUACCGGAACAAAUGGUGGAGCGGUGAAAUGCGUAGAUAUCAUUUGGAACGCCAAUGGUGAAAACAGGUAGCUGGGGAAGUGCUGACGCUGAGACACGAAAGCCAGGGGAGCGAACGGG